CGCCGCGCGAGCAAGGCCUGGACGCCGCUGCCUCGGAGAGCUUCCCAAGGAGACGCGUCCCCAGGGGUGCGAGGGGCUGGCAGAAAAAUCAGCGGGCUCUACCUGAAAAUAUAUCCAGAAUCUGAUUUGAUCACCAUUCACCACAGCAGCGCUUAUUUCCCGUGAAAAAAUGCCACUGCCUCUCACCCAGAUUGUCACAGUGGUCUCCUUGCAGCCCUUCCGUGUCCACCCUGCCCUGCUCAAUACAGCAGCCAAGGUCUGCAUGUUGGCUGAUAAUUUACAAGUAAGGAAGCUGAGCCCAGAAGGUGGGUGAUGGGCCCAGGUCACCCAGCUCGAGGCUGCUGCGGCACUGUGAGUCCCACACCGAAUCUCUGGAUGCAGAGGCCGGGUUUGCCAACACAACUCUCUGCCGUUCCUGUAGCGCCAGAGUGGUGGAGCUCUGCCUUACCAAACACAAGUGUGCGCAAAAUAAUGACAGAGAAGCUAUUUUUAUUUAAAGCCGUAGAAGUCUCACACAGCGCGGGGACAGAGCUGCCUUUAAGGUCUGUGCUUGAGAAGCUCCGAGACAAUGUGGUACUUGGUGAAUGGAGGACGUCCUGCGGUUUCAGAAUCGUGCCAAGAGCAAAGUAAUGAAGAAGUAGAGGCAUUUCAUCUGAUUUAGAGAAGACAAGAGAGGAUAUAUAUCAAUCACCUUAUACGCAGAAUUAAGUGGUUUUACAAGAGGAAAUAAUAUUGUUCUGUUUCACCAUAAAAAUAGAAACGCCAUUAAUA